rnacentral:rRNA from 1 species
UACGGGGGGGGGCAAGCGUUGUUCGGAAUUACUGGGCGUAAAGGGCUCGUAGGCGGCCAACUAAGUCAGACGUGAAAUCCCUCGGCUUAACCGGGGAACUGCAUCUGAUACUGGAUGGCUUGAGUUCGGGAGAGGGAUGCGGAAUUCCAGGUGUAGCGGUGAAAUGCGUAGAUAUCUGGAGGAACACCGGUGGCGAAGGCGGCAUCCUGGACCGGUAUUGACGCUGAGGCGCGAAAGCCAGGGGGAGCAAACGGG